CCUACGGGAGGCAGCAGUGAGGAAUAUUGGUCAAUGGGCGCGAGUCUGAACCAGCCAAGUCGCGUGAGGGAAGACGGUCCUAUGGAUUGUAAACCUCUUUUGUCGGGGAGCAAAAGACGCCACGCGUGGCUUUCUGAGAGUACCCGAAGAAAAAGCAUCGGCUAACUCCGUGCCAGCAGCCGCGGUAAUACGGAGGAUGCUAGCGUUAUCCGGAUUUAUUGGGUUUAAAGGGUGCGUAGGCGGAGGAUAAAGUUAGCGGUAAAAUUGGGGGGCUCAACCUCUACGAGCCGUUGAUACUGGUUUUCUUGAGAGAGCGAGAGGUAUGCGGAAUGCAUGGUGUAGCGGUGAAAUGCAUAGAUAUCACACAGAACACCGAUUGCGAAGGCAGCAUACCGACGCACAACUGACGCUCAUGCACGAAAGUGUGGGUAGCGAACAGGAUUAGAUACCCUAGUAGUC
rnacentral:rRNA from 1 species